GACGAAUGCUGGCGGCGUGCUUAACACAUGCAAGUCGAACGCUGAAGCUCAGCUUUUGUUGGGUGGAUGAGUGGCGAACGGGUGAGUAACACGUGAGUAACCUGCCUCCUUCUUUGGGAUAACGCCCGGAAACGGGUGCUAAUACUGGAUAUUCACUGGUCUUCGCAUGGGGGUUGGUGGAAAGGGUUUUUCUGGUGUGGGGUGGGCUCGCGGCCUAUCAGCUUGUUGGUGGGGUGAUGGCCUACCAAGGCUUUGACGGGUAGCCGGCCUGAGAGGGUGACCGGUAACAUUGGGACGGAGAUACGGCCCAGACUCGUAAGGGAGGCAGCAGUGGGGAAUAUUGCACAAUGGGCGAAAGCCUGAUGCAGCGACGCCGCGUGAGGGAUGGAGGCCUUCGGGUUGUGAACAUAUGGCGCUCAUGGUGAAGCCGCAACAAUGGUUGUGGUGAGGGUAGUGGGUAAAGAAGCGACGGCUAACUACGUG
rnacentral:rRNA from 1 species